GGUGGUCCCUCCUCGAGACCCUCGAAUAACCUGGCCUGCUGGACGGGUCAAGUGGUGCCCGAACGUGGGGCUCGAGGCACGGCGGCUCACUACUGGAUGGCAAAGAGAAAACGGGGUCUGGCCAGACUCACUAAGGUAGAGGUGCCCCAACAGCAUCACUCGUGCGCCGUGGGCAACCUUGAGGAACACUGGCAGCCAAGGACAUACUUUAUGACCACUGCUCCCCCUCCCUUCCUUUACUGUGAUAACUUCAAGGUCUCUUCUGCCAGCCAGGAAUUUCUCUUGUUAACCCUUCUCUGUCCUGAUUGUG